GUCACUCAGUGAUGUCAGAGCAGUUCAGCACAACGCUGUGUGUGUGUGUUUGCGUUAGGCCCUUGACAGUGAGUGUGUCUUUUCUGUGUGUGUGUACGGACGAUGCAAUGAAUGAGAAGAUGGUAAAGAGUAAAACAUGAAGAUAUUUGCAUAUAUGUACAUAUAUAGAGAACGAAAAAGAGAGAGAAGAAAAUGGCUGCCAUCCAGUAACACAAGUUCUUGUUAACGUGUUCUCUGAGCUUUGAAAACACGGAUACGAUAUGCCGAACGUACCCUGGACACACUGACUGGAAGAUCGCUCUAAGAACCAUGAUAGCAGGUGUGGUGUUUGCAUUAUCCAGCCUGUUGUUACUUCAGGCAGUCUCCUCUUGCCCCAAGGAGUGUUCAUGUGACACUCACACCAAAGUGGUGGACUGCCGGGGACGAGGAUUGUACGAUAUUCCUCAUAAGAUCCAACAAGACACAACAGAGCUAUAUCUCCAAAACAACCGCAUCCGAGGCCUCAGCUCCAUGUCUUUCCAAGAGACACCUCAACUCCAAAUUCUGGAUCUGGCCAACAAUUCAAUCACUACACUUUCCCCCAGUGCCUUUCUGGGACUCAGAGGCCUGAAAAUGCUCAUUCUGGCCAAUAACUCUAUUCGGGAGGUGGACCGGCGCCUUCUGGUUUCAAUAAGAAACCUAACCCUCUUGGACCUGUCCCAUAACAGCUUAGGAGGUCUACCAGGAGCUCUUGCUGAUAGCUUCCACCAUCUGACCCACCUAUCCCUGCACUACAAUCGGCUGACCAAGCUGGACCGUACACACCUGGAGUCUCUUGGGAAUCUGAAAGUUCUUCAUCUGAAGGGUAAUCCCUGGAGAUGUGACUGUCAUCUGAUAGGACUCAAGCUAUGGCUGGAGACAUUUGCCUUCAAAGGUGGAGCAGUUGACAGCAUCACAUGUGUCCAGCCUCACGUCAUGCUGCAGCGAGACCUUCGUCAAGUUCCCUACGAGCUCUUCCAUGCCUGCAUGAUCACCAGCUACAGCUACCUGUUCGCCAACAUCCACUACCUGGACAACAAGCACCGCACGCUCAGCGGACAGCUCCACCCAAGCCCCAGAGCUCCAUCCAGCAGCGAUUUUAGCCCUCAGGGUGAGGUGGCGCUCCCAGAGUGCGAGAUCAAGCAGCGACCGCGGCCUGUGAACUACAGACAUGCUAUAGCUACAGUGGUCAUCACAGGAGUGGUGUGUGGGAUCGUAUUUCUGAUGAUGCUAGCGGCAGCAGUCUACGGAUGCGCGUACGCAGCAAUCAACGCAAAGUAUCAAAGAGAGCUGAAGAAGAAAGCCAUGGAGGCGAGCAGAGGAGAAGAACGAAAGAACAUUGAGAGAGAGGAGAAAGAGCCACUAGAGUGACGCAAACAUCAUACAAUGCACAUUAAGCACAAAUACACACAGGGAGGCCAGUGACCAGAUAUAGUUGUGCAUCUACAAAGUCCCAAGUGGCACAAAUGCAGUUGGCAACACCUCUGGGCAGCUAUUUUCCAGUCAUACAAGUACAGCUAAUAUCUACUUGAAUGGGGAAAGACUGAAAUCUCCAAAACUGUAGUCCAGACAAUAUUUCAAGUCAAAUUAGCAAUAAUGGUAUCAUUGCUGCUUCUAGCUUUGCUUUUUUAGCUAUUAAUAGGAGAAAUUUAAACUGAUCCAAAGUCUCUUAUUCCUCCACUGCUGUUUAUACAUUUUCAAAUUGUUGGUAAGGCAAUACAGUUUCUACAGAGCUCUUGUAAGGCCAAAGAAACAUAUGAACAUAUCAGUUUAACCUGUUUUUUUGUUUUGUUUGUUUUUUGUUUUUUUGUUUUGUUUAAACAGGAACAAAUCUAACCUGUCUUUGUUCAGUGCGCAUAUUUAAAAGUGAAGUGUGUAAUUGUUUUGAUUUUAAAAUUAGUAGUCAAUUGAUAUUGAUUUUUCAGAGGGCAGUGCUUAUAAAGAUAUCUAAUUAAGCAGAGAUAACGCUAAUAUAACUGUAAGGUGACUUCCUGAAGGGUGUAACCACUGUGUCAUUUUCAAAACAUUGAUCUGGAUGUUUGAGUUGUCUGAUAUGUCAGCUUUUGACUCAACCAAUUGCAUGAGUUGUCUGACGCCUUUUUGUCUGACCAAAGGCAUACGGAUAUGAAUGGUGGAGUUUUGGUCAUGUGAGUGGUCGCUGCAGAGCUCUUUUGGCAUGCUUUGUUCGCCUGCUUUGUUUACAGUCCGUCAAGGGUGUGAGUGGCUGCCGCAGAGCUCUUUUGCUGUGAUUUGUUACUGAUUGGUGGAUCUUUCUUUGGAGGAUUAUGGGUAAUGUAGUUCUUAAAAAGGAAAUCUGUGCUCAAACACUAAGUUGAAAUAACACGGACGGAUAGCUUCAACAGAAGCAUGUACCAUCGAUUAACAACCUUAAAGCUCACGGUAGGUCUGCCUUGAAAGAUGUAUAAUUAUUCACUAAAAAUCAAUUCUGCAAAUGAGAAAAUGAAGUUGGAUUUUUACUUCCGGAAUUAGACUGUUAUGCUCUAUUCCACUGGUGCCACAAGUGGCAAAGAAAUUAUACACUGCCGCUUUAAGAAGCAGUAUUUACAUAUGGACAAACUACACUGGUUUUAACAACAUGUAACAAGUAGUAUUUCAUUUAUAGUUUAUUGAAGGAUUUAAUAAUUGGCAUAUCCGUUAAUAACAAGUCAUGGUGGCAGCUCCUAAUGUAUGUGUCUGGUCUCAAUCUGUGAUUCUGUAAGAGUAUUGUAUAAGAAGCUCUGUAAACAUACUGGUACAAACAGUGGAUAAAGAGAUUUUGAGAAUUAGAAUAACAUAAAUUUUGGUGAGUGAAGGAGGCAGUGAUCUAGGAAGCUUAUGCUGUGAUUUACAGGAUUAUAUAACAGGCUCCUCCUUAACUUGAUCUGUCAGAAUAUAUCUACUUAAUAUCAGAGUACACAGCCAACCAGUAAUUGGGUAGUUGACAUGAAACACUUGUGAAAAGUUGAAAUGUCCUGUGGUAAGAUGUGCUAUACUCCAUCUAAAAUUAUAUUAAACAGUAUUUUGCUAAUUCUCACAUAUAUGCAGUUUUGUGACCUCAUAUAAUUGGAGAAACCAUAUACAAGUAUUUGUAAUUUAAAAAAUGCACUCUCUCUCUCUCUCUCUCUCUCUCUCUCUCUCUCACACACACACACACACACACACACACACGUGUAACUGAAUUUAAGUUCACAUCAUGGCUGUUGACAGUUGAGGAUGAAGAAUCAUGUCGGACUUAAAAAGCAUGUCACGCACAAGCGCAUAUAUGGCGCAGUUACACAAUCAUUUACUGUCAUCAACAUCUCAGGCUGCAUUACUGAUGAAACACGCAUAUGGGGAAGAAACGCAGUGAGGAUGCCAACAAAUGAAACACUGUCUUUUCAAAGAGUGUUAAUCUAUUUUUAAUGUUAUUUUUCUGUUCAAAUCAGCAUGUGUGACAGAAAUACACUCACUGACCCAGUAAUUUCAGCAGCUCCCGUUAGGGGUCGCCACAGCGGACAAUCCGUGAUCCGCAUAUUUGACUUGGCACAGGUUUUACGCCGGAUGCCCUUCCUGACGCAACACACAGUGGCUGGGGACUGAACAUGUCCACAGUUAAUGUGAGGAAAUUCACCUGUAGUUAAUCUGAUUGAGGCAACUGUGUGAACUUGAUGGUAAUGGACAGAUUGAUCUCACAGUGAAAUCGGAAAGUAUGUCUCACAGUAUGUUGACUUUUCUCAAGCUAAAAUUGGUCUGUGUUUAUCGAAAUUCAAAACUCUGCCCCCAGUGGCCAAAGUGGUAAGUGUUUUUGGGCGAAUGGGCAAGUGUGAGCUCUGUUUUCAAGGUGAAAUGUCCAGAGAGGGGCGUCAAAUACAAGAUGUGAAGCGAGUUGUUUUCAACUGUGCAGGCUGUAAUACAGUGAAGAGGAAUGCAUAUUGUACAAACUGUAUCCCCAAACCCUAAACCUAACAAUCAGUGGAGUACAAAUGUAAUGCUAGAGGGGAAAAUGCAACCUCUGAAUUGCGUUCAUCACUGAUUAUACAAACUUAAUUACUUCUUGGUUUCAACACGGUAUCCAAACCUGGGUCUCCCAUGCUGCUGAAGCAACACUUCUGGUUGCACCACAGAGAAAUGUGAACAAAUUGGAGCUGAUGAAAAAAUGUCUGAUAGGAGAUGGCAGUUGUCAGUGAUUCUGCAAUGUGGCCGAUCCUAGGGUACUGGAACUCUUGUAAUUAACAUGCCAACAUCCUGUGUGAUCAUGUUGGGAUCAGUUAGUUACAAGUAAUAGCUUUUGGAAAAAAUAAUAUUGCAUUUGUUUGCUCAAAGAGGCCACUAUGUUCAUUAAAUCAGCAAAAAAAAAAAACUCAAUCUUUCAUCCUCCACAUUUGGUUAUGUUGUAAAAAAAAAUGUAAAAUGAAGGACUUGAGAAUGAGAAUAUUAAAGACCAGUAGACUGGACAUGUAAUUGUGAGUAAAAGGGGUAGGUUUGGAUUAACUGUGGGUGUAUGUGCGCCAGCUGUGGGUGUAUUGUAUGUUAAUGAAGUGGCGCAAAUCGCAAUUAGCUAUUUUCAUGAGAAAUAGGUCUCUGCGCUAAGACGUUUCAAAAGCAUGUCUGUUUUCAGUGCAAAAUCCAAACUCAAUUCCUGCAUUUGCAGUUUGGAGACUCCACCAGCAGGUGGUAAUAAAGAUCAUGUAUAAACUCUGAAAAUAUAGUGGAACAUCAAAUUAUGUUCCUGACAAUCACCGUUUUACAAAAAAAAAGGUAUGAGAUUUGUAUUAAACUAUCUACAAUAUAGGUCAUUGUUUAUUUUUCAACUAAUUUUAUCAUGUUUAUAUCUACAAUUGGAUUUAUGAUCUAAUUUGUAUUGGUAUUUUUCCACCUGUUGUCAUACAAAUAUUUUUGGUUUAAUGUUUUG